rnacentral:rRNA from 1 species
GACGAACGCUGCCGGCGUCCCUAAUACAUGCAAGUAGAACGCUGAAGAGAGGAGCUUCCUCUUCUUGGAUGAGUUGCGAACGGGUGAGUAACGCGUAGGUAACCUGCCUGGUAGCGGGGGAUAACUAUUGGAAACGAUAGCUAAUACCGCAUAAAAUGGAUUAUCGCAUGAUAAUGCAUUGAAAGGUGCAAAUGCAUCACUACCAGAUGGACCUGCGUUGUAUUAGCUAGUUGGUGGGGUAACGGCUCACCAAGGCGACGAUACAUAGCCGACCUGAGAGGGUGAUCGGCCACACUGGGACUGAGACACGGCCCAGACUCCUACGGGAGGCAGCAGUAGGGAAUCUUCGGCAAUGGACGGAAGUCUGACCGAGCAACGCCGCGUGAGUGAAGAAGGUUUUCGGAUCGUAAAGCUCUGUUGUAAGAGAAGAACGAGUGUGAGAGUGGAAAGUUCACACUGUGACGUAUCUACCAGAAAG